rnacentral:lncRNA from 1 species
UGUGCCAAACAUAAAUCGAUUAAAACUCAAACAAGAUAAAUCUUUACUACUAAAAACUCAAAAGACCUCUCCUGUCCUUAAAAAAAAAAGAAUAAAGUAAUUAAUAUACAGACAAUUUUAUGUCGACAUAAGGUCCUGUGUAUCCUUAUUCUAGGGAACAGUUGAUCCCCCAACAUCAAAUACUGGACCCGUAAAAGCAUCUUACAGGAGAUCCCCCAACAUCAAAUACUGGACCCGUGAAAUUAUCUUACAGGAGAUUCCCGCACAUCAAAUGCUGGACCCGUACAAGUUUCUUACAUGCAGGAGAUACCCAACAUCAAAUGCUGGACCCGUAAAAGUAUCUUACAGGAGAUACCCAGCAUCAAACGCUGGACCCCAGAUCCCCCAACAUCAAAUACUGGACUCGUAAAAGUAUCUUACAGGAGAUCCCCCAACAUCAAAUACUGGACCCGUAAAAGUAUUUUACAGGAGAUUCC